rnacentral:rRNA from 1 species
GCGCUUGAGAGAACUCGGGUGAAGGAACUAGGCAAAAUGGUGCCGUAACUUCGGGAGAAGGCACGCUGACAUGUAGGUGAAGCCCCUGCGGGUGGAGCUGAAGUCAGUCGAAGAUACCAGCUGGCUGCAACUGUUUAUUAAAAACACAGCACUGUGCAAACACGAAAGUGGACGUAUACGGUGUGACGCCUGCCCGGUGCCGGAAGGUUAAUUGAUGGGGUUAUCGCAAGAGAAGCUCCUGAUCGAAGCCCCGGUAAACGGCGGCCGUAACUAUAACGGUCCUAAGGUAGCGAAAUUCCUUGUCGGGUAAGUUCCGACCUGCACGAAUGGCGUAAUGAUGGCCAGGCUGUCUCCACCCGAGACUCAGUGAAAUUGAACUCGCUGUGAAGAUGCAGUGUACCCGCGGCAAGACGGAAAGACCCCGUGAACCUUUACUACAGCUUGACACUGAACAUUGAGCCUUGAUGUGUAGGAUAGGUGGGAGGCUUUGAAGCGUGGACGCCAGUCUGCGUGGAGCCAACCUUGAAAUACCACCCUUUAAUGUUUGAUGUUCUAACCUGGCGCCCUGAUCGGGCGUGGGGACAGUGUCUGGUGGGUAGUUUGACUGGGGCGGUCUCCUCCCAAAGUGUAACGGAGGAGCACGAAGGUCAGCUAAUCCUGGUCGGACAUCAGGAGGUUAGUGCAAUGGCAUAAGCUGGCUUGACUGCGAGAGUGACGGCUCGAGCAGGUGCGAAAGCAGGUCAUAGUGAUCCGGUGGUUCUGUAUGGAAGGGCCAUCGCUCAACGGAUAAAAGGUACUCCGGGGAUAACAGGCUGAUACCGCCCAAGAGUUCAUAUCGACGGCGGUGUUUGGCACCUCGAUGUCGGCUCAUCACAUCCUGGGGCUGAAGUAGGUCCCAAGGGUAUGGCUGUUCGCCAUUUAAAGUGGUACGCGAGCUGGGUUUAGAACGUCGUGAGACAGUUCGGUCCCUAUCUGCCGUGGGCGCUGGAGAAUUGAGGGGGGCUGCUCCCAGUACGAGAGGACCGGAGUGGACGCAUCACUGGUGUUCGGGUUGUCAUGCCAAUGGCACUGCCCGGUAGCUAAAUGCGGAAGAGAUAAGUGCUGAAAGCAUCUAAGCACGAAACUUGCCCCGAGAUGAGUUCUCCCUGAGACUGUAAGUCUCCUGAAGGAACGUUGAAGACGACGACGUUGAUAGGCCGGGUGUGUAAGCGCAGCGAUGCGUUGAGCUAACCGGUACUAAUGAACCGUGAGGCUUAACCUU